rnacentral:rRNA from 1 species
UACGGAGGGUGCGAGCGUUGUCCGGAAUCAUUGGGCGUAAAGGGCGCGUAGGUGGCCCGGUCAGCGUGCGGUGAAAGCUCGGGGCUCAACCCCGAGUCGGCCGUGCGAACUGCUGGGCUGGAGCACUGUAGAGGCAGGCGGAAUUCCGGGUGUAGCGGUGGAAUGCGUAGAGAUCCGGAAGAACACCGGUGGCGAAGGCGGCAUCCUGGACCGACAUUGACGCUGAGGAGCGAAAGCUAGGGGAGCAAACGGG